rnacentral:rRNA from 1 species
CACGUAGGGCGCGAGCGUUGUCCGGAAUUAUUGGGCGUAAAGAGCUCGUAGGCGGCCUGUUGCGUCCGCUGUGAAAGCCCGGGGCUUAACCCCGGGUCGGCAGUGGAUACGGGCAGGCUAGAGGUAGGUAGGGGAGAAUGGAAUUCCCGGUGUAGUGGUGAAAUGCGUAGAUAUUGGAAAGACCACCAAUGGCGAAGGCAACCUACUGGGCCAUUACUGACACUGAGAGACGAAAGCUAGGGGAGCAAAUGGG